AACAAAAGGAAACUACAGCUGCUUGCUUCACUACCUUCAGAACAAGGGGAACAGUUUGAAAGUCCCGAAUACUGAAAUAUGUCAAAAACGUAACUUAUAGAUUUUGUUAACACUGUCAGACAAGAAUUUAAAACGGUCUUGUGCAGUUUUGAUGAAAUAUGAAAGAUGAUAUAGGCUUUGUGCAUGUUCUGUACCCGUCAAAUUCUGAUUAGGGAAAUGUUACUUACGUGUUCUACAGACGUCGGUAAAUAUUUCAUAAUUGAAAACCGAACCUUUUGAAAGAC
rnacentral:lncRNA from 1 species